rnacentral:lncRNA from 1 species
AUCGCAACGAGGGCGAGAGAAAAGAAUCGCAACAAGGGCGAAAGCAAACAAGGAUUAGUUGUUAGUCGUCAGUCAAAAACUCGGCAAGACAUCGCGUCUCAUGCCUACGUAUCUCAUCUGAACAUGAGAAUCAGAGUUGUCGUAGUUCGGCUAACUAAGGGUUAAGGAUUGCUGUCUGAACAUGGACUUACAAAAGAGGACACCAGCUGUGUCAA